UACAGAGGCCCCAAGCGUUGUUCGGAUUCACUGGGCGUAAAGGGUGCGUAGGUGGUUAGGUAAGUCCGAUGUGAAAUCUCCAGGCUCAACCUGGAAAUGGCGUUGGAUACUAUCUAGCUUGAGGAGUGGAGGGGGGACUGGAAUUCUCGGUGUAGCAGUGAAAUGCGUAGAUAUCGAGAGGAACACCAGUGGCGAAGGCGAGUCCCUGGACACUUCCUGACACUGAGGCACGAAAGCUAGGGGAGCAAACAGG
rnacentral:rRNA from 1 species